GCCACUCCUCAGUUUAAUUGAAGCUCCCUCCCAUUAUGGGAGGGAGCUCCGCCUACCGUGAAUGCCCUUAUUGAAGAAUGUUGAAGUUCAAGUCACUUGAACGACGACAACAAUGACAAAGAAGAAGAAGACUGAAGAAGAAAAGCACUAUCCUGAUUGUCUCACUGAUCUUCUUCUGCUUCUUUUCGUCUGCUCUCUCAUCUUCGGUGGUCACUCAUUUGCUUGGAUUCCAAGGCUCCCUGCCCUUCCACUUAGAGACAGGAUCCGGAUGUUGCUUCCCACAACCUUACAGUGCCAUGAACCUCCGCUUUCAUUGGUACAAGUACGUAGAGGUGGACGAGAAGCACAGCGGCGAGUAUUUCUACUACUUCAUCAAGUCGGAGAAUAAGCCGGCAAAGGACCCUCUGCUCCUCUAGCUGACCCACGGCCCCAGAUGCUCGCCCUUCAAUGGCUUGGUCUUCGAAAUCGAAAAGGGUAAAGCAUGGUUAAACUAAAGGGAGCAGCAGGAGGGGCAAAGGAUGUGUGUGGUAGUGGAAUGGUGGAAGAGAUCUGUUUUGUGUUUUCAGGACUUAUAUAUGUUUUAAGCUUUUGCAUGUGAACUAUUUAUUCUUGCUACUUUUGAUGAUAUUAGCUUGACUUGUUGGAUGCUUUAUACUUACGUUGAACUAUACUUACCCUUGCUUC